GUGUGUUCGACAUUAGGUGAAGCAAGAAGAACAAAACCCUAAAUACUACUAGUCCAUCAAAUUAGAAGAGAAAUUGAAGUGUAAAUAGAUGCAUGUAUCCAGAUUUAUGAUCCUCUAAGUGUGCUCAACAUCAAGGUCGAAAAAAGGAGGAGAAUCAAGUCAAGCGAAAGCAUUAGGAGCGCACGACUCCGGUAAAUCCCAGGCUUGAUAGUGGCGCUUUCGGACCGAACACACAAUGUCGACCUUUUUGCACGCUUCCGGUUCAAGUUGUCAAUUAUGAAUGGGUCAAAGUUUUCAUUUUGUAAUAUGAUGUCAAACUUGGGUUUAGUAUGUUAGUAAGUAGUUUGGAUUUCUAAACCUUUUGUUGUAGUAUGUACAAAAUAGUUAUGGUGAACCUUUUAU